CCCUUAGAUGUUCUGGGCCGCACGCGCGCUACAAUGAUGAAUUCAAAGAGUUUAUAACCUUGGUUGAAAAGCCUGGGUAAUCUUUUGAACUUUCGUCGUGAUGGGGCUAGACCCUUGCAAUUAUUGGUCUCCAACGAGGAAUUCCUAGUAAACGCAAGUCAUCAGCUUGCAUUGAUUACGUCCCUGCCCUUUGUACACACCGCCCGUCGCACCUACCGAUUGAAUGGUCCGGUGAAAUCUUCGGAUUGAGACUUUGAUUUCUUCACGGAAAACGCUGUUUUAAAAAGUUGAUUAAACCUUACCAUUUAGAGGAAGGUGAAGUCGUAACA
rnacentral:rRNA from 1 species